rnacentral:rRNA from 1 species
GGCGAGUGAAGCGGCAACAGCUCAAAUUUGAAAUCUGGCCCCCGGGUCCGAGUUGUAAUUUGUAGAGGAUGCUUUUGGUGCGGUACCUUCCGAGUUCUCUGGAACGAGACGCCAUAGAGGGUGAGAGCCCCGUCUGGUUGGACGCCAAACCUUUGUAAAGCUCCUUCGACGAGUCGAGUAGUUUGGGAAUGCUGCUCUAAAUGGGAGGUAUAUGUCUUCUAAAGCUAAAUAUUGGCCAGAGACCGAUAGCGCACAAGUAGAGUGAUCGAAAGAUGAAAAGCACUUUGAAAAGAGAGUUAAAAAGUACGUGAAAUUGUUGAAAGGGAAGCGCUCAUGACCAGACUUGGGCCCGGUUGAUCAUCCAGGGUUCUCCCUGGUGCACUCUUCCGGCCCAGGCCAGCAUCAGUUCGCUGUGGGGGAUAAAGGCUUCGGGAAUGUGGCUCCCUCGGGAGUGUUAUAGCCCGUCGUGCAAUACCCUGCGGCGGACUGAGGUUCGCGCAUUCGCAAGGAUGCUGGCGUAAUGGUCAUCAGCGACCCGUCUUGAAACACGGACCAAGGAGUCGUCUUCGUAUGCGAGUGUUCGGGUGUCAAACCCCUACGCGUAAUGAAAGUGAACGCAGGUGAGAGCUUCGGCGCAUCAUCGACCGAUCCUGAUGUUCUCGGAUGGAUUUGAGUAAGAGCAUACGGGGCCGGACCCGAAAGAAGGUGAACUAUGCCUGUAUAGGGUGAAGCCAGAGGAAACUCUGGUGGAGGCUCGCAGCGGUUCUGACGUGCAAAUCGAUCGUCAAAUAUGGGCA